GACGAACGCUGGCGGCGUGCCUAAUACAUGCAAGUCGAGCGGAUCUCUUCGGAGAUCAGCGGCGGACGGGUGAGUAACACGUGGGCAACCUGCCUGUAAGACUGGGAUAACUCCGGGAAACCGGAGCUAAUACCGGAUACUAUGUCAAACCGCAUGGUUUGACAUUCAAAGACGGUUUCGGCUGUCACUUACAGAUGGGCCCGCGGCGCAUUAGCUAGUUGGUGAGGUAACGGCUCACCAAGGCGACGAUGCGUAGCCGACCUGAGAGGGUGAGCGGCCACACUGGGACUGAGACACGGCCCAGACUCCGACGGGAGGCAGCAGUAGGGAAUCUUCCGCAAUGGACGAAAGUCUGACGGAGCAACGCCGCGUGAGUGAUGAAGGUUUUCGGAUCGUAAAACUCUGUUGUCAGGGAAGAACAAGUGCCGGAGUAACUGCCGGCACCUUGACGGUACCUGACCAGAAAGCCACGGCUAACUACGUGCCAGCCGCCGCGGUAA
rnacentral:rRNA from 1 species